rnacentral:rRNA from 1 species
AGAGCUUGCUCUUUGUAACCGAGUGGCGAACGGGUGAGUAACACGUGACUAACCUGCCUUCGAGAGGGGGAUAACCUGGGGAAACCCGGACUAAUACCGCAUAUAGUCCAAGAGUCUUAUGUCUCAUGGAUAAAAGAGAGCCUCUGCUUGCAUGCUCUCACUCGAAGAGGGGGUCGCGGCGUAUCAGCUAGUUGGUGGGGUAAUGGCCUACCAAGGCGACGACGCGUAGCGGGUCUGAGAGGACGAUCCGUCACAUUGGGACUGAGAUACGGCCCAGACUCCUACGGGAGGCAGCAGUGGGGAAUAUUGCGCAAUGGCCGAAAGGCUGACGCAGCGACGCCGCGUGUGGGAGGAAGCCUUUCGGGGUGUAAACCACUGUCUGGGGGGAAGAACUUCGUGGGUGUUAAUAACACCUACGGUUGACGGUACCCCUAGAGGAAGCGCCGGCUAACUCCGUGCCAGCAGCCGCGGUAAGACGGAGGGCGCAAGCGUUGUUCGGAAUUACUGGGCGUAAAGGGCGGGCAGGCGGUCUGUUAAGUCUUUUGUGAAAAUCCGGAGCUCAACUCCGUGAAAUGCAGAAGAUACUGGGCAGGCUGGAGACCGGUAGAGGCUAGCGGAAUUCCUGGUGUAGCGGUGGAAUGCGUAGAUAUCAGGAAGAACACCUGUGGCGAAGGCGGCUAGCUGGGCCGGGUCUGACGCUGAUCCGCGAAAGCGUGGGUAGCAAACAGGAUUAGAUACCCUGGUAGUCCACGCCGUAAACGAUGGGCACUAGAUGCCGGGUAUAUAGACGUAUUCGGUGUCG